rnacentral:tRNA from 1 species
GGAGGGUCCAUCUCAGUGGUAGAGCGCGUGCUUAGCAUGCACAAGGUCCUGGGUUCAAGCCCCAGCACCUCCA